UCGACUCGGUAUCGAUGGCGACACUACGAACAGUAGUGUGUGGAGGCAGACUGACGAACGUCAGGCCGGCGGAAGCCGCGAACAGGUCAGAGACCUGGGGAGCCUCGAAAUAACUCAACAUUUCGCCGCCCCGAUGCACAGAUACCAGUCG
rfam:Serratia proteamaculans 568, complete genome.